AUACGUAGGGAGCGAGCGUUGUCCGGAAUUACUGGGUGUAAAGGGAGCGUAGGCGGGAGUGCAAGUCAGAUGUGAAAUACAUGGGCUCAACCCCUGGGCUGCAUUUGAAACUGCAUUUCUUGAGUGAAGUAGAGGUAAGCGGAAUUCCUGGUGUAGCGGUGAAAUGCGUAGAUAUCAGGAGGAACACCGGUGGCGAAGGCGGCUUACUGGGCUUUUACUGACGCUGAGGCUCGAAAGCGUGGGGAGCAAACAGGAUUAGAUACCCUGGUAGUCCACGCUGUAAACGAUGAUUACUAGGUGUGGGGGGACUGACCCCUUCCGUGCCGCAGUUAACACAAUAAGUAAUCCACCUGGGGAGUACGGCCGCAAGGUUGAAACUCAAAUGAAUUGACGGGG
rnacentral:rRNA from 1 species